rnacentral:rRNA from 1 species
AGUGAACGCUGGCGGCAGGCCUAACACAUGCAAGUCGAACGGCAGCACAGCCCCGCAAGGGGUGGGUGGCGAGUGGCGGACGGGUGAGGAAUACAUGGGAAUCUACCCUGUCGUGGGGGA